rnacentral:rRNA from 1 species
GACGAACGCUGGCGGCGGGCUUAACACAUGCAAGUCGAACGGAAAGGCCCUGCUGUUGUGGGGUUCUCGGGUGGCGAACGGGGGAGUAACACGUGAGUAACCGGCCCUUGACUUUGGGAGAACUUCAGGAAACUGGGGCUAAUACCGGAUAGGAGCUCCUGCUGCAUGGUGGGGGGUGGAAAGUUUCGGCGGUUGGGGAUGGACGCGCGGCUUAUCAGCUUGUUGGUGGGGUAGGGGCUUACCAAGGCUUUGACGGGUAGCCGGCCUGAGAGGGUGACCGGCCACAUUGGGACUGAGAUACGGACCAGACGCCUACGGGAGGCAGCAGUGGGGAAUAUUGCACAGUGGGCGGAAGCCUGAUGCAGCAACGCCGCGUGCGGGAUGACGGCCUUCGGGUUGUAAACCGCUUUCGCCUGUGACGAAGCGUGAGUGACGGUAAUGGGUAAAGAAGCACCGGCUAACUACGUG